UCCUUCAGUCAGUGCACUGAUGAGUGGCU
rnacentral:piRNA from 1 species